AGCUCAAGAGAGGGGCUGGCUCAUGCUGGCUAGAGUGAUAGAUACAGGUUACAUGAAGCUCCAGAGAAUGUCUGGCUCAUGCUGGUUAGUGUGACAGUUGGAGGUCACAUGAAGCUUCAGAGAGGGUCUGGCUCAUGCUGGCUAGUGUGACAAUUAGAGACCACAUGCAGCUCCAGAGAGGUAGAGAAACCACAGGGACAAAGAAACGAGAGUAUUGCAAAUGGUAUCGGAAUAGUCUUCGGAUCUCCGAGCAGCACAGACAAGUUCAUAUUAAGCUCUUCGGAGGCGAAGGGAGGGGAGUCUACCGCAACUAAAAGGUGCUCAGGGGACGGUUAUCUGGUGGCGUUUGCUCUGAAAUACUACCGCAUAGAUAAACAAAGAAGAGCUGUGAGUAACAUCAAGUUCCUGUGUUCCACUGGAGAAUAUCUGGAGGGAGAUGGAGAGAAACGGGGGAGUUUUGAAGGCAUGAGUGAGACCUGCCCUGAUGGAAUCGUUGCUUACAAAACUUUUCGUCAUCGUGGAAGAAGUGAGGACUACAAAUGGGCUUUCUGGAGUGACAUCUUGUUUCAUUGCUUUCAAAGUCAUGUUAAAUGGGGCUGAAAAAUACCAACCAAUAGACCAACAUGGCCGCCCCAUGCCCACAAUUGGAACAGACAUAGUAAAGUUUUAACUCUCUGAAUAAAGAGGAAAAUGCAUUCACA